rnacentral:lncRNA from 1 species
UUAAUCUACGAUAACUGAGUAUUGGUAGUCAUAUUAAUGAUUCUGGAAUGUGAUAUAAUUUGGUGGCGUGCAUCUGACUGGUUAUUUUAAAUAGCUGUUAUUUUCAUCGAGGGACUCGAACAUACCCGUUGAUUAAAGAUUUUUUGAAGUGUAAAGAAGUUGUAAAAUAAAGAUUUCAAGCAAUUUUAUUGCAGGUACCAGAGUCUGAGGAAACCGCAUUUAAUGCCCCCAAUAAGCAAGAACACAUGGACUAGAAUGUUUGGAUUUCGUUUGACUUGAGCAGAGUUGGCUACAGUCCAUCACAAGGCACAAAGGAAGAGGGGGAUGGUGGUUUUGAAAGUUGAUGGUAUCAGCAUAGAGAUGGUAGAUAUAUUGUUGCCAUGGAGGCCAUGAAAGAGGUUUCAGUUGCUCUGAAAGCAUGCUUCAAUGUAUAAGAACUCAGCUAUCUUCCAGGAAGCAUGGCAUUGUGAACUUGAGGAAGUUGAACCCGUUGAGUCGUUUAGGCCACCACUCACACAUUCUAACACAAAGAAACUUCAGAAGAAGAUUGUCAACUUAAAAGUGAAGUUGCUACCGUGGUUAAGUGGUGAAGCUCACU